GCAGCACAGGACCACACACAGUCUCACUGAGUCAGUAGACAUGGAGGAUGGGAAGCCUGAUCUGCUGCUGGUCAAAGAGGAGACGAUAGAGGACGGACCAGAGACAUUGACCUGCUGAGUGGACUAAAGAUGGGGGAGCAAGGUGGUUGGUUGGAGGAUAAAGAGGAGACUGGGCGGCCAUCUUG